GGACGGGUGCGGAACAUGUGUGCAAUCUGCCCUUAUCAAGGGGAUAGCCCGGAGAAAUCCGGAUUAAUACCCUAUAACAUAUGGGAUGGCAUCAUUUCAUAUUAAAAGCUACGGCGGAUAAGGAUGAGCACGCACAAGAUUAGCUAGUUGGUAAGGUAACGGCUUACCAAGGCGACGAUCUUUAGGGGGCCUGAGAGGGUGAUCCCCCACACUGGGACUGAGACACGGCCCAGACUCCUACGGGAGGCAGCA
rnacentral:rRNA from 1 species